GCGGGUGUAGCUCAGUUGGCUAGAGCGCCAGAUUGUGGCUCUGGAGGUUGUCGGUUCAAUCCCGAUCACUCGCC
rnacentral:tRNA from 1 species